AGCGGAGGCAGAACUAAACAGGAUCCCCAUAGUAAUGGCGAAUGAACCGGGAUAAACUCAGCAUGGAAAUUGGGGCCUUUGGCUUUGACUUGUAAUCUGGUGAGGCAUUGCCAACAGAGGCGCAUAUGUAAGUCUCUUGGAAAAGAGCAUCAACGAAGGUGAGAGUCCUGAUUGUCAUGUGCAGCCCCCCUGUGCACGGUGUGCCUUCUAAGAGUCACGUUCCUUGGGAUUGGAGCGCAAAUUGGGUGGUAACUUUCAUCUGAAGUUAAACAAGGGUUUGGGACCGAUAGGAAACAAGUACCAUGAGGGAAAGGUGAAAAGGACUUUGGAAAGAGAGUUAAAAGUGCCUGAAAUUGCUGAAGGGGAAGCGAAUGGAACCAGUAGUGCUGGGUGAGAUUGUCACAUGCUACAAGGAUUGGUUGCUGCCACAACGCAAGUGUGAUGGCAAUUUGUGAAUUGCUAGUGUGUGGUGUGUCUUACCUAGUGGGUCAUUGUGGGUUUAUGCAUUAAGAUAAGUCAAAGCAAGCGGGAGCAAGUUUACGAGUUUGUGAAUGUGUGUUGUUAUGCUUGUGCGUAAGCUUUAAGGUUUGUCUGGCUGCAGGGCUGUCCAUCCUCGAGCUGAGGGUUGCGAUGAGCAUAACCUUCUGCGCAGAUCUUGACGAAAUGGUUUCAUUCGACCCGUCUUGA
rnacentral:rRNA from 1 species